rnacentral:rRNA from 1 species
ACGACCAUAGGGUGUGGAAAAUAGGGCUUCCCGUCCGCUCAGCCGUACUUAAGCCACACGCCGGGAGGUUAGUAGUUGGGUGGGUGACCACCAGCGAAUCCCUUCUGUUGUAUGUU